CGGGAGUAGCAAUACAACUGGUGGCGACCGGCGCACGGGUGAGUAACGCGUAUGCAACCUCCUUAUCAGAGGGGAAUAACCCGGCGAAAGUCGGACUAAUACCGCAUAAAACAGGGGCACCGCAUGGUGAUAUUUGUUAAAGAAAUUCGCUGAUAGAUGGGCAUGCGUUCCAUUAGGUAGUUGGUGAGGUAACGGCUCACCAAGCCGACGAUGGAUAGGGGAACUGAGAGGUUGGUCCCCCACACUGCUACUGAGACACAGACCAGACUCCUACGGGAGGCAGCAGUGAGGAAUAUUGGUCAAUGGGCGGGAGCCUGAACCAGCCAAGUCGCGUGAAGGAAGAAGGAUCUAUGGUUCGUAAACUUCUUUUGCAGGGGAAUAAAGUGCAGGACGUGUCCUGUUUUGUAUGUACCCUGAGAAUAAGGAUCGGCUAACUCCGUGCCAGCAGCCGCGGUAAUACGGAGGAUCCGAGCGUUAUCCGGAUUUAUUGGGUUUAAAGGGUGCGUAGGUGGUUUGAUAAGUCAGCGGUGAAAGUUUGCAGCUUAACUGUAAAAAUGCCGUUGAAACUGUCGGACUUGAGUGUAAAUGAGGUAGGCGGAAUGCGUGGUGUAGCGGUGAAAUGCAUAGAUAUCACGAAGAACUCCGAUUG
rnacentral:rRNA from 1 species